ensembl:lncRNA
GGUCACUCCUCUCAGUCGCUGUGUCGUAGGUCACUCCUCUCAGUCGCUGUGUCGUAGGUCACUCCUCUCAGUCGCUGUGUCGUAGGUCACUCCUCUCAGUCGCUGUGUCGUAGGUCACUCCUCUCAGUCGCUGUGUCGUAGGUCACUCCUGCUCAGUUGCUUAAAUCCUGUGGUUUUACACGGUGGAGACACAGGGAUGUAGCGGGCCCUCAAACACCUGAGGUCAGUGGGGACAGGGAUGUAGUGGGCCCUCAAACACCUGAGGUCAGCGGGGACAGGGAUGUAGUGGGCCCUCAAACACCUGAGGUCAGCGGGGACAGGGAUGUAGCGGGCCCUUAAACACCUGAGGUCAGCGGGGACAGGGAUGUAGCGGGCCCUCAAACACCUGAGGUCAGCGGGGACAGGGAUGUAGCGGGCCCUCAAACACCUGAGGUCAGCGGGGACAGGGAUGUAGCGGGCCCUCAAACACCUGAGGUCAGCGGGGACAGGGAUG